rnacentral:lncRNA from 10 species
AUGGGAUCAGAGGAUGAACAAGAGAUGCUGACUGGGCCUAGAGAUGGCAAGGAGGAGGAGGAAGAGGAAGAGGAGGAAUUAGUCAAUUCCUAACAAAAGCGAGAGAGCAGUGCGUGCAGCUGAAGAAAGGAGUAAAGUCUCGGAGCAGCUGGAGCUCUGUGAUGAGCACGUGUCUUCCAGAUCACAGACAGGAGAGGAUUGCACAAAGCUCUUUGACUUCUCUAAUGCAAGGGACCAUUGCAUGGCCCACAAAUCCUUUAACAGUUUGAAAUGA